AGAGUUUGAUCCUGGCUCAGGAUGAACGCUGGCGGCAUGCCUAAUACAUGCAAGUCGAACGAGAGGAAGGAAAGCUUGCUUUCCUAAAUCUAGUGGCGAACGGGUGAGUAACACGUAGGUAACCUGCCCAUGUGCCCGGGAUAACUUCUGGAAACGGAUGCUAAAACCGGAUAGGUAGCAGACAAGCAUUUGACUGCUAUUAAAGUGGCUAAGGCCAUGAACAUGGAUGGACCUGCGGUGCAUUAGCUAGUUGGUGAGGUAACGGCCCACCAAGGCGACGAUGCAUAGCCGGCCUGAGAGGGCGGACGGCCACAUUGGGACUGAGACACGGCCCAAACUCCUACGGGAGGCAGCAGUAGGGAAUUUUCGUCAAUGGGGGGAACCCUGAACGAGCAAUGCCGCGUGAGUGAGGAAGGUCUUCGGAUCGUAAAGCUCUGUUGUAAGAGAAAAACGGCACUCAUAGGGAAUGAUGAGUGAGUGAUGGUAUCUUACCAGAAAGUCACGGCUAACUACGUGCCAGCAGCCGCGGUAAUACGUAGGUGGCGAGCGUUAUCCGGAAUGAUUGGGCGUAAAGGGUGCGUAGGUGGCAGAUCAAGUCUGGAGUAAAAGGUAUGGGCUCAACCCGUACUUGCUCUGGAAACUGAUCAGCUAGAGAACAGAAGAGGACGGCGGAACUCCAUGUGUAGCGGUAAAAUGCGUAGAUAUAUGGAAGAACACCGGUGGCGAAGGCGGCCGUCUGGUCUGGAUUCUGACACUGAAGCACGAAAGCGUGGGGAGCAAAUAGGAUUAGAUACCCUAGUAGUCCACGCCGUAAACGAUGAGAACUAGGUGUUGGGGGAAUAACUCAGUGCCGCAGUUAACGCAAUAAGUUCUCCGCCUGGGGAGUAUGCACGCAAGUGUGAAACUCAAAGGAAUUGACGGGGGCCCGCACAAGCGGUGGAGUAUGUGGUUUAAUUCGAAGCAACGCGAAGAACCUUACCAGGCCUUGACAUCCCUUGCAGAGGUAUAGAGAUAUAUCCGAGGUUAUCAAGGAGACAGGUGGUGCAUGGUUGUCGUCAGCUCGUGUCGUGAGAUGUUGGGUUAAGUCCCGCAACGAGCGCAACCCU
rnacentral:rRNA from 1 species